rnacentral:rRNA from 1 species
UACGUAGGGUGCAAGCGUUGUCCGGAAUUAUUGGGCGUAAAGAGCUCGUAGGCGGUCUGUCGCGUCGGCUGUGAAAACCCGGGGCUUAACCCCGGGCGUGCAGUGGAUACGGGCAGGCUGGAGGCAGGCAGGGGAGAACGGAAUUCCCGGUGUAGCGGUGAAAUGCGCAGAUAUCGGAAGGAACACCAGUGGCGAAGGCGGCUACCUGGAUUGACACUGACACUGAGGCGCGAGAGCGUGGGGAGCAAACAGG